rnacentral:rRNA from 1 species
AGUGAACGCUGGCGGUAGGCCUAACACAUGCAAGUCGAACGGCAGCACAGUAAGAGCUUGCUCUUACGGGUGGCGAGUGGCGGACGGGUGAGGAAUACAUCGGAAUCUACUUUUUCGUGGGGGAUAACGUAUGGAAACUUACGCUAAUACCGCAUACGACCUACGGGUGAAAGCAGGGGAUCUUCGGACCUUGCGCGAUUGAAUGAGCCGAUGUCGGAUUAGCUAGUUGGCGGGGGAAAGGCCCACCAAGGCGACGAUCCGUAGCUGGUCUGAGAGGAUGAUCGGCCACACUGGAACUGAGACACGGUCCAGACUCCUAAGGGAGGCAGCAGUCGGGCAUAUUCGACAAUGGGCGCCAGCCUGAUCCCGCCAUACCGCGUGAGUGAAGCAGGCCUUCGGGUUGUGAAGCAAUUUUGUUGGGAGAGAAAAGACGCAGGUUAAUACCCAGCUGUUCUGACGGUACCCAAAGAAUCAGCACCGGCUAACUUUGUG